CCGUUCUGAUUUUUUAAUCUUUCUCUCAAUCUCUCUCUGUGUAAUCGGUGCUUGCUCAAUCUUAUUGGAGUUGUUUCUCUUAUAUACUCUUGUAAGUUGGGAACUGGAUCUUUGUUUCUAGCAAACAUUGGUUCAUUUAAUUUUUGGGUUUAUUGAUUAAUUGGAAGUGUGUUAUUUCUAUAUCAUUGUCACAAAGCACAUGGUAUCUUCGGCACUUGUCUCUCUUCCCUCUCUACAACUAGAUGAAGUGCGCUUUUGUUUAUCCGGCAACGUCUCUUGGCCAGCUUUGUUUGGAAUCGUCUGGCUUCCUUCGCCAUGAUGUCCAGCUACUCGUGAUGUAAAGCUUUAUGUGUGAUUUAAAAGCUUUAUUGUUUUUGAAUUGAAUUUUUUGUACUAAUUAAGCUAUUUUCUUUUAUUGUGUGAUUUAAAAGCUUUAUUGUUUUUGAAUUAAGUUGAUUGUACUGAUUAGGGUUGUGUGUUUAAAUAUGUCGUGUGUUUACUAAUAUAUUAUACUAGUGUUGAUCCCG
rnacentral:lncRNA from 1 species